rnacentral:rRNA from 1 species
CGUUCGGGUUGUAAACACUUUCACUUGUGAUGGAAAGUGUUCAAUAACUUAAUACCUGCUACCCUGUGACGUUAACAACRWGAAGAAGCACCGSCUAACUCCGUGCCAGCAGCCGCGGYAAUACGSRGGGUGCGAGCGUUAAUCGAGAAUUACUGGGCGUAAAGCGCACGCAGACGGUCGUGUUAASSUAGAUGUGAAAGCCCCGMGCUCAACGUGUSSAGGKUCAUUUAGAACUGGCAGACUAGACGUCUUGGAGAGGKGAGUGGAAUUCCAGGUGUASAGGUGAAAUGCGUAGAGAUCUCGCAGGAACAUCAAUCGCGAAGGAACUCCCUCGCCAAGAGACUGACGCUCAUCGUGCCGAAAGUCGUGGGUAGCGAACAGGAUUAGAUACCCUGGUAGCCACACCGUAAACGUGCUACUAGUCGUUUCCUCGGAUUUAAUUCGGUGAGUCACAGAACUGAACGCGAUAACGUAG